GAUGAAGAACGCAGCGAAAUGCGAUAAGUAAUGUGAAUUGCAGAAUUCAGUGAAUCAUCGAAUCUUUGAACGCAUCUUGCGCUCCUUGGUAUUCCGAGGAGCAUGCCUGUUUGAGUGUCAUUUUAACUUCUCAACCAUAUCGAAUUGUUUUUCGAGGUGGCUUGGACAUGGGGGUUUUUGCAGGCUUUAAUAAUGAAGUCGGCUCCUCUGAAAUGCAUUAGUGGUAUCUGAAGCAGAACUGCUACUAUUAGGUGUUAUAAUUAUCUAUGCCUCUUGGUAUACUGCAUGAACAGAUUGCGCUGCUUCCAACUUGUACACCCUUUGGUGUUUGACAAAUUUGACCUCAAAUCAGGUAGGACUACCCGCUGAACUUAAGCAUAUCAAUAAGCGGAGGA
rnacentral:misc_RNA from 1 species